AUUGAACGCUGGCGGCAGGCUUAACACAUGCAAGUCGAGCGGAGAUGAGGUGCUUGCACCUUAUCUUAGCGGCGGACGGGUGAGUAAUGCUUAGGAAUCUGCCUAUUAGUGGGGGACAACAUUCCGAAAGGAAUGCUAAUACCGCAUACGUCCUACGGGAGAAAGCAGGGGAUCUUCGGACCUUGCGCUAAUAGAUGAGCCUAAGUCGGAUUAGCUAGUUGGUGGGGUAAAGGCCUACCAAGGCGACGAUCUGUAGCGGGUCUGAGAGGAUGAUCCGCUACACUGGGACGGGGAACCGGCCCAGACUCCGACGGGAGGCAGCAGUGGGGACUAUUGGACAAUGGGGGGAGCCCUGAUCCAGCUAUGCCGCGUGUGUGAAGAAGGCCUUAUGGUUGUAAAGCACUUUAAGCGAGGAGGAGGCUACUGAGACUAAUACUCUUGGAUAGUGGACGUUACUCGCAGAAUAAGCACCGGCUAACUCUGUGCCAGCCGCCGCCGUAACAC
rnacentral:rRNA from 1 species